rnacentral:lncRNA from 1 species
CUACUUCUAAUCAAUCUUCCCCUUUAGUUUCACAAGCUACAUCUUUUAUUUUUUGGUAAAUUUAACAUUAAAUUCAUUCAUUUGAAAUCCACAUCUAUCCAAAUGAACCCUUAUGGAUUGUAAUUAAUUUUCUAUGAUCCUACUCUUGUACAAAGUCGAUCAAAGAAGGCUUUCAGAUUUGAAAAGGUAUCAAAUUCCAUUUUGAUAGAUGAGGAAUUCAAAUGUCAAGAGAACCAAUUGUUUUAUGAGUGUCAGUUCUAUAUUUUUGUUUUCUUAAACUAGUUCUGUGACAAUAUAACCUGGUUUUAAUUUUCAUAUAUAAAUUUAGUGAUAAAUCUUGCAUUCCGUUUUUUCAUUCUCGAAUUAGAAUAUGAUUGUGUACAACAAUCCCUUCCCGAAACACGUUAUAGACCAGUUGUCUCUUGUAGAAAUCAAAGCAUUAUGGUACUAAACUUCUUCUCAUAUCGUGGCCCAUCGGAGAAGAAAUCCUGAUUCCGUCCUAGAGGCAUGUCUAUGCUUCUUGGCAUACAAACACAGACAUGCAUAUGAUACGCGUAUGCAUGCAUCUAUAGUAUAGAAAAGUUAUCUUACCAAGCUUAAUCGAGCAAGGCAAUAAUGCAUCCAGCUUUUUGCAAAAGUAAUAUAAAUAGAAUAAAAUUACCUCAAGAUUGAUGAGUUCGGCAAAUUUACGUGCAGUCAUUAUGGUACCUAAGUUACCGAUGAUUCUUCAUAUGGACAUCAAUAAAGCUUGCAAAGAAAAGCCGACUCAAAACCUGCAGUGUAAAGCCCCAUCCCACAUCGGAUAGAAAGUAGAUUGUCUAAUGCCAUAUAAGUGAAAACCUGGGACCUUCUUGGUGCAAAACUUUUUCCCACAAAAACACGGGAGAAUCACUAAUACCAUAUAGCGGAGUCUUUUAGCCUAUAAAUAAGAGGUUACGAUCAUUAAUAGCUAAUUGUUGAUGAAUUGAGAUUGUAUUUUGAGAGCUAGAGUUCAUGUUCCCAGAUUUGGGAUUUUCAGUCUCCAACAACUAUAUAAAUUUAACAUCUUGUACUGCUGCUCGGACAAACCUCUUCACAAGUACAAAGAAAUAAAAUAAAUACUUACACAUGGUAUUCCUCAUGAUUGUUCCCGUGGUUAUAGAAGGGACAACUGAAAAUAGUGUCAAGGUUGGCCAUUCUCUUCCUCGGGGUGGGUUCACGCUUGACUUCCAUUUACUCAUUUUUCAAGUCAAACUCUUUUCCUAAAGUACCACCAACAACGUAUUAGUCCAUCUGUGUCACAGAUUAUGGCAAUGAUGGUAAACAUAAAAAAAUUUCACCACAUUGGGUUUUCUCCUGAAAAUGAAAUGAACUAUUAAACAGCAGCAUCUGAAAUACACAGUAAGCGUAUGGAGGAAGACGAUUGAAGGGAAAAUUCAAUGCACUCAAUGAGUCAUGUAUAUACCUGUCACUUCCCAUUUGUUCCAUGACAUCUAACAAUAGCAAUGAACCAAUUAACUCACCAAAUCAAAACCAUUAAGCACAAUAGAAAGGACAGAAUUGUACCAAUUGCUAACAUCAUUGAAUGCAUUUCAAGCAAUUUAAUUAACUAUAUGUAUCCUUAGAAAGAACGCUACAAAAGAUAAACAAAAUACAAGGUUACCUUCAGCAACAUCUGCAAUAGCAAAAACACAAGUACUCAAUUCUCCAAAUGUUGCUUCCCUGUAUUACUCCGUCAUAUGACAAUCAUAUAGCUGAGGCAGGCAUUCAAUCGAUUAAUGGCUAUAAUAGUACUUUCAGUAUAAGGCUACCAUAAUGUCAGAGUAGGAUUUAAUAUUAUGGCAAAUCCACCCAUAGCUGCAUUAAAUCAUUGUUUUCUUACAACGGGAAUGGGAUGAACGCUUGAUAACUAAUGACAAAACUAAAGGUGAAGGAAGUCUUACGUUAGAUUCCAUUGGUCUGAUAUCUAGUCAAAAAAUUCUACAAAACUCCUGGCCCAUGCAAAUAUCUGAGCAAAGUCAUAUCACCAACUCCGUGCAGCCGCUUCCAUGUCCUUCGGAUUAAUGUUUGAUAAACUAGCGACAACCUGUCCAUAGGAAGCAGCAGAAGUUUCAGGUAGAUGAAUGAAGCCACAUAACAAUAAACAAAGACAUAAAAUUCAGGUUACAAAAAUGGAACCAAUCAAAACAUUUUUGUUUCAUUGAUUUUUUUCUGUCAAAUGAAUUCACGGCUUUAAUAAAGAAAGAAAGUUUUCGGUAAAUAAUAAGUAACCAGGCCCUGUGUUUUUUUGAUGAAAUCCAUCUUGAAAUGGUUAAGCAUCAGUGAGUAAAGUACAUUUACUUGUCAAAAGAAACAAAAUUUACAUGGACAAGUCAUUUGAUGAAAAAUCCAUCUUGAAAAAAUAAAAAAUAUAUUGGACAAAGAAUAGGGCGAGAUUCACUUUACCUCCAUGUGUACUUUACCUCGCCGUGGUGAAAAUAUGCAAAGAAUACUCGCGUGAUUUGUUACUGUUAUAUUUUCC